AUAUAUAUAUAUAUAUAUAUAUAUAUUCCUGGCGUUUCAAUUAUUUUCCCCUUUUGUAGUUAUUCUUAUUUCCUGGUGUAUUUUGAAUUGUGUGUAUAUGUAUUUUGUUUAUUGGUUGGAUCCGUUAAUCGCCCUCGUUUUGUUAAUCCUUCCUUUCGUUUCGUAGUGCCGUGUGUUCGUUUGUGCAUUCAAAUCCUUAUUCGCGUGUUUUGUAUAGAAUGGUAUUCUUGUUCUUGUUACGGCGUGUGCGGAGCGCGGGACGUGACACCCCCGCCCUUGAAGUUCAAAUUUCCAAAGGAAAUUUGACUGAUGGUAUCUCUGAGUUCGCUCAAGGCGGACGUAGAUGUCGUUGGUAGUUGAGUGACUACCGGUGUUAUCGAUAUCCCUUGAGGUUGUGCUGUUUGAUCAUCGAUAUUUCGUCUUCUUUUGAGGGACGAUUGUUUUUCCUGUUGCUCCUCUGGCCAAUGCGUUCGAGACUGCAGAUUUUCUGCCGGGAACAUGACGUGGUCCCGUAGUGCAUCGAGGUCUUUUGGGUAUAUAUUCCGCUAGUGACCAACGACGAUGGUGCUGAAUAUCGCCACGUUUGGCGCACGUCCGGGUGGAGUUCCUGUGGUGCGAUUCCUUUGCCAAACGGGUAGUUCCGAGUAGCAUUUUGUUGUAUGUCGUACCUUUACUUGUACCGGAAUGCAUUUGACUAUAUGGAUCGCUUCUCCUGCGAUCAGAGCCAUGUGUCCUAGGUUUUGGUUAUGGUGUAUGCAAAUUCGUCGGGCGGUAAGUUUGCCAAGCUUAAAGCGUUCUCUGUUAGUUUCUUCUGUGUGGUGUAUCUUUGUGUCAGUGUAUCAUGGUAUAAUGUUUUCAUUUCUCGAGUUUAUCAGAAAUAGUAAUAACCUUUUAUAGAAAAAGAAAAUUUUAUAUUUAUAUAUAUUUGUUAAGGAAAUUCGAGGAUUUGGGAAUACAAAUUAUUGCCUAUA